rnacentral:rRNA from 1 species
CGAGGACGAACGCUGGCGGCGUGCUUAACACAUGCAAGUCGAACGGGGCUGAUUGAAAGCUUGCUUUGAAAAGUCUAGUGGCAAACGGGUGAGUAACGCGUAGGCAACCUGCCUCUAAGAUGGGGACAACAGUCCGAAAGGACUGCUAAUACCGAAUGUUGUGAGUUUUCCGCAUGGAAGAUUCAUUAAAGAUGGCCUCUACUUGUAAGCUAUCACUUAGAGAUGGGCCUGCGUCUGAUUAGCUAGUUGGUGAGGUAACGGCCCACCAAGGCGACGAUCAGUAGCCGACCUGAGAGGGUGACCGGCCACAUUGGGACUGAGACACGGCCCAAACUCCUACGGGAGGCAGCAGUGGGGAAUAUUGCACAAUGGGCGAAAGCCUGAUGCAGCCGACGCCGCGUGAGCGAAGAAGUAUUUCGGUAUGUAAAGCUCUAUCAGCAGGGAAGAUAAUGACGGUACCUGACUAAGAAGCACCGGCUAAAUACGUGCCAGCCGCCGC